GCCAGAGUGGUGUAGUGAUUCGAGUGCUGGACUACAACUCUGGAGAUCAGGGUUCAAUUCCCAGCUCAGUCA